CUAAUACUCCCUCCGUCCCAAAUUACUUGUCGCAGAAAUGGAUAGAAAUGGAUGUAUCUAGAAGUAAAAAUACGCCUAGAUACAUCCAUUUAUGCAACAAAUAAUUCGGGACAGACGAAGUAUGUU
rfam:Triticum aestivum genome assembly, contig: Triticum_aestivum_CS42_TGACv1_scaffold_501420_6BL